rnacentral:rRNA from 1 species
ACUGGCUCAGGAUGAACGCUGGCGGCGUGCCUAAUACAUGCAAGUCGAACGCUUUGUCUUUAAUUGAUAUGAAGAGCUUGCUCUGAUUUGAUUUUAUCUGACAAAGAGUGGCGAACGGGUGAGUAACACGUGGGUAACCUACCUCUUAGCAGGGGAUAACAUUUGGAAACAAGUGCUAAUACCGUAUAAUACCAACAACCGCAUGGUUGUUGGUUGAAAGAUGGUUCUGCUAUCACUAAGAGAUGGACCCGCGGUGCAUUAGCUAGUUGGUAAGGUAACGGCUUACCAAGGCAAUGAUGCAUAGCCGAGUUGAGAGACUGAUCGGCCACAAUGGGACUGAGACACGGCCCAUACUCCUACGGGAGGCAGCAGUAGGGAAUCUUCCACAAUGGGCGCAAGCCUGAUGGAGCAACGCCGCGUGUGUGAUGAAGGGUUUCGGCUCGUAAAACACUGUUAUAAGAGAAGAACGGCACUGAGAGUAACUGUUCAGUGUGUGACGGUAUC